GGGGAAUUUUGGACAAUGGGCGAAAGCCUGAUCCAGCCAUGCCGCGUGUAUGAAGAAGGCCUUAGGGUUGUAAAGUACUUUUGUUAGGGAGGAAAAGCUACAGGCUAAUAUCCUGUAGUCAUGACAGUACCUAAAGAAUAAGCACCGGCUAACUACGUGCCAGCAGCCGCGGUAAUACGUAGGGUGCAAGCGUUAAUCGGAAUUACUGGGCGUAAAGCGAGUGCAGGCGGUUUGUUAAGCUAGAUGUGAAAGCCCCGGGCUCAACCUGGGAAUUGCGUUUAGAACUGGCAAGCUAGAGUGUGUCAGAGGGGGGUAGAAUUCCACGUGUAGCAGUGAAAUGCGUAGAGAUGUGGAGGAAUACCGAUGGCGAAGGCAGCCCCCUGGGAUAACACUGACGCUCAUACUCGAAAGCGUGGGUAGCAAACAGGAUUAGAUACCCUGGUAGUCCACGCCCUAAACGAUGACAAUUAGCUGUUGGGGAAUUAAAAGUCCUUGGUAGCGUAGCUAACGCGUGAAAUUGUCCGCCUGGGGAGUACGGUCGCAAGAUUAAAACUCAAAGGAAUUGACGGGGACCCGCACAAGCGGUGGAUGAUGUGGAUUAAUUCGAUGCAACGCGAAGAACCUUACCUAGCCUUGACAUGUACGGAAGUCCGAUGAAAGUUGGAUGUGCCUUCGGGAACCGUAACACAGGUGCUGCAUGGCUGUCGUCAGCUCGUGUCGUGAGAUGUU
rnacentral:rRNA from 1 species